GAUGAACGCUGGCGGCGUGCCUAAUACAUGUAAGUCGAGCGAACAGACGAGGAGCUUGCUCCUCUGACGUUAGCGGCGGACGGGUGAGUAACACGUGGAUAACCUACCUAUAAGACUGGGAUAACUUCGGGAAACCGGAGCUAAUACCGGAUAAUAUAUUGAACCGCAUGGUUCAAUAGUGAAAGACGGUUUUGCUGUCACUUAUAGAUGGAUCCGCGCCGCAUUAGCUAGUUGGUAAGGUAACGGCUUACCAAGGCGACGAUGCGUAGCCGACCUGAGAGGGUGAUCGGCCACACUGGAACUGAGACACGGUCCAGACUCCUACGGGAGGCAGCAGUAGGGAAUCUUCCGCAAUGGGCGAAAGCUUGACGGAGCAACGCCGCGUGAGUGAUGAAGGUCUUCGGAUCGUAAAACUCUGUUAUUAGGGAAGAACAAAUGUGUAAGUAACUAUGCACGUCUUGACGGUACCUAAUCAGAAAGCCACGGCUAACUACGUG
rnacentral:rRNA from 1 species